rnacentral:rRNA from 1 species
AACGAACGCUGGCGGCAGGCUUAACACAUGCAAGUCGAACGCACCGCAAGGGGAGUGGCAGACGGGUGAGUAACGCGUGGGAAAAUACCCUUUGCUGCGGAAUAGAUUUGGGAAACUGGAAUUAAUACCGCAUACGCCCUACGGGGGAAAGAUUUAUCGGGGAAGGAUGGGCCCGCGUUGGAUUAGCUAGUUGGUGGGGUAAAGGCCUACCAAGGCGACGAUCCAUAGCUGGUCUGAGAGGAUGAUCAGCCACAUUGGGACUGAGACACGGCCCAAACUCCUACGGGAGGCAGCAGUGGGGAAUAUUGGACAAUGGGCGCAAGCCUGAUCCAGCCAUGCCGCGUGAGUGAUGAAGGCCUUAGGGUUGUAAAGCUCUUUCACCGAUGAAGAUAAUGACGGUAGUCGGAGAAGAAGCCCCGGCUAACUUCGUGCCAGCCGCCGCGGUAACAC